rnacentral:rRNA from 1 species
GGCUAACUCUGUGCCAGCAGCCGCGGUAAUACAGAGGGUGCAAGCGUUAAUCGGAUUUACUGGGCGUAAAGCGCGCGUAGGUGGCUAAUUAAGUCAAAUGUGAAAUCCCCGAGCUUAACUUGGGAAUUGCAUUCGAUACUGGUUAGCUAGAGUAUGGGAGAGGAUGGUAGAAUUCCAGGUGUAGCGGUGAAAUGCGUAGAGAUCUGGAGGAAUACCGAUGGCGAAGGCAGCCAUCUGGCCUAAUACUGACACUGAGGUGCGAAAGCAUGGGGAGCAAACAGGAUUAGAUACCCUGGUAGUCCAUGCCGUAAACGAUGUCUACUAGCCGUUGGGGCCCUUGAGGCUUUAGUGGCGCAGCUAACGCGAUAAGUAGACCGCCUGGGGAGUACGGUCGCAAGACUAAAACUCAAAUGAAUUGACGGGGGCCCGCACAAGCGGUGGAGCAUGUGGUUUAAUUCGAUGCAACGCGAAGAACCUUACCUGGCCUUGACAUAGUAAGAACUUUCCAGAGAUGGAUUGGUGCCUUCGGGAACUUACAUACAGGUGCUGCAUGGCUGUCGUCAGCUCGUGUCGUGAGAUGUUGGGUUAAGUCCCGCAACGAGCGCAACCCUUUUCCUUAUUUGCCAGCACUUCGGGUGGGAACUUUAAGGAUACUGCCAGUGACAAACUGGAGGAAGGCGGGGACGACGUCAAGUCAUCAUGGCCCUUACG